AUUGAACGCUGGCGGCAUGCCUAACACAUGCAAGUCGAACGGCAGCACUGGGAGCUUGCUCCCUGGUGGCGAGUGGCGGACGGGUGAGUAACGCGUAGGAAUCUGCCUCAUAGCGGGGGACAACUCGGGGAAACUCGAGCUAAUACCGCAUACUACUCGAGAGAGGAAAGCAGGGGACCUUCGGGCCUUGCACUAUGAGAUGAGCCUGCGUUGGAUUAGCUAGUUGGUGGGGUAAAGGCCUACCAAGGCGACGAUCCAUAACUGGUUUGAGAGGAUGACCAGUCACACUGGGACUGAGACACGGCCCAG
rnacentral:rRNA from 1 species